rnacentral:rRNA from 1 species
GAUGAACGCUAGCGGCAGGCCUAACACAUGCAAGUCGAGGGGUAGCAGGAUUAAGCUUGCUUAAUUGCUGACGACCGGCGCACGGGUGCGUAACGCGUAUGCAACCUACCUUAUACUGGGGUAUAGCCCGGAGAAAUUCGGAUUAAUCCCCCAUAGUACUAAUGAAUCGCAUGGUUUAUUAGUUAAAGCAUUGCGGUAUAAGAUGGGCAUGCGUCCUAUUAGCUAGAUGGUGAGGUAACGGCUCACCAUGGCUACGAUAGGUAGGGGGCCUGAGAGGGUGGUCCCCCACACUGGUACUGAGACACGGACCAGACUCCUACGGGAGGCAGCAGUGAGGAAUAUUGGUCAAUGGGCGCAAGCCUGAACCAGCCACGCCGCGUGCAGGAAGAAUGCCCUAUGGGUUGUAAACUGCUUUUAUUUGGGAAUAAACCUCUUUACGUGUAGAGAGCUGAAGGUACCAAAUGAAUAAGCACCGGCUAACUACGUGCCAGCAGCCGCCGUAA